rnacentral:lncRNA from 1 species
CUAACUUCUACCAAUAUAAUUUCCCUAUUGGUUAUGUGAUUAUUUGUGCUAAUAUUUCACUUUCCAAAACACCUUACUAAAGCAAGAAAGGAAGAACUAAUAGUCAUUAUACACCUGUAAAAUAAACCAUGCACUUUGCAUAAGUAACCAUAUUUAAUCUUACAACAUUAAACUGGAAAUAUAUAAUUUGCUGAAGAAAAGUUGAGCAUAAGAGAAAUUAAAUUGUCAAAAAAUCAAAUAGUAAAUAUUGAACGGGGAAGCUGAUCAGAUUUUUGUAUCUCCAUGCUUUUUUAAAAAAAAAUCUUAACUCCCACUUAUGAUUUAUGCCAAUGAUUUCAAUUGUUUUGUGAUAUCAAGAUGAAUCUUCCCAGCCCUGUGUUCAAGAUCACUCAGUGUUUAUUCAAUCAGCCUUCCUUCCACUGCUUUCCAACAUGAAGCUUGUUUCUCACUCAUCAGUCUGUUUCUAUCUCUAGGACUCCAUUUUUCUCCACUCUGGUGCCCAAAGAUCAAUGCCAAGCUUUAAGAUCUUCAUGACAAUCCUUGCCCUAAUUGUCCAUAAAAGUCAUUGCUCCUUUUUGUUUUUCCUUUGUCAGCCAUCUGCUAUUUCCUGUCUUUCAUCAUUCAUUAUAAUCUGACAAACACCACCGCAUGCUUAUCUGCCUGUCCUCUUUUCUUCUACAGUGUUUUCGAUAGCAUUCCUGUUACCUGUAUUUCCAACAACCUGAUUUUAAAAUAGGUUGCUUCUCUUCUAGAUCCCUUUCAUAUGACAUGAUUAGUGAAUAUAUGGUCACACUAUGUGUAAAUGCAGAGUGCAAAAGUGUAUGUAAUCUAACAUAUUGAUUUAGCACUUGCUUUUGUGGUAUUUUAACUCCCUAAAGACAAAAUAUUCAAGUUGUUUAUAUAUGUGGGAUAUAGACAAUAUCGAACAUAAGGCAAAUUUGCAUCUAAAGGUGAAAAUACAAGGAUUAAUUUUCUUUUUCUUAUUACAAAUACACAGACACAAAUUGUGCAACUCUCCAUUAAAAUGGAUAGUAAAAAGGAAAGAGGAAGGAAAAGAGAGAGCAUCUUGUACUGUUAAGGUAGAUAAUAUUAACUUGCUACUUGACUCAAAGACCUUUUAAACUUAGAAUUCUGAAACCUCAAAGAAGUGCUAGCUUUCCUUGAGUCUGAACUUGAACUGUCUGAGGAUGUGCAUGAAGGCACCAUCUUUAUGAACAAUUUGGGAGAUAAAUGGACAGUGAAGUUCACCAGUCUCCAACCAACAAAGGUACUCAACUGCUUAAAAGUUGUGGCCCAUCAUCUCUGUCUUCUGUGAGAAUCCCUUACCUCUCGCCAGUUGUAAAUUUAUAGUUUUUAUUUUCUCUUUCUUUAAAUUUGUGUGACAGUAUAUGUGUAUAGAAAUCAAAAUUCACUCCUCAUAUUCCACAUGAAGUGAUAUCAGCUAAAUCAGGCAUAAAACAAAACAAAUCAAUUUCAAUUGGAUUUUUGAUUCCAAAUACCAGUAUAUUAUACAGCCCAAGUUGUAUACACUUAUAUUUCUUAUUUCAUUAAGAUGCAGGAAAUUUGUGAUUAUUCUGUCAUUUACCCUUUUCAGUAGAAUUUUUGAUAGUAUGAGACCUCUAAAUAUUUGUCUAACUUCUAUUUUUCCCAAUCAUCUUUGUACUGAGUUAAAAACUUUGUGAAGUGAGACUGUAUCUUAUACUUCUCAAACUGCCCUGCUCUAAAUUAAUAUACUUCUUAAAUUUGGUUUUGUUUGUUUUUACAUUAGAGGAAGUUCAUACCUCGUUGCUGAGUGAGUGAACUGGUGACUUAAGUCUGAUUUGCAGUGUUUAAGUAAUGAACAACACCAGAUGACUUUGAAAAACUGCAUCAAAAACUACUUAUAAUGUGAC